GACGAACGCUGGCGGCGUGCCUAACACAUGCAAGUCAACUUGACUGAAGGAGCAAUCUGACAGUAGAGUGGCGCAAGGGUGCGUAACGCGUAAGUAACUUGCCCCAAGGUAAGGAAUAACGUCGAGAAAUCGGCGCUAAUACCUCAUAAUGCAGCGGAUCCGCAUGGAUAUGUUGUUAAAGGUUUACCGCCUUGGGAUAGGCUUGCGUCUGAUUAGCUAGUUGGUGUGGUAACGGCACACCAAGGCUACGAUCAGUAACUGGUCUGAGAGGAUGAUCAGUCACACUGGAACUGAGACACGGUCCAGACUCCUACGGGAGGCAGCAGUGAGGAAUAUUGGGCAAUGCUCGAAAGAGUGACCCAGCAACGCCGCGUGGAGGAUGAAGGUAUUCUAUAUCGUAAACUCCUGUGAGAGCAGACGAAAGACAGAUUAUUAAUCUGGAUGACUGUAAUGCUCAGAGGAAGCCCGGCUAACUACG
rnacentral:rRNA from 1 species